GCGGGUACUYCGAAGUGGCGAACGGGUGAGUAACACGUGGGCAACCUUGCCCUYCAGCUUUUUGGGAUAACUCCCGGAAACGGGUGCUAAUACCGAAUAUUGACAUUUCCUCGCAUGGGGGUUUGUUGAAAGUUUUUCGGCUGGGGAUGGGCCCGCGGCCUAUCAGCUUGUUGGUGGGGUGAUGGCCUACCAAGGCGACGACGGGUAGCCGGCCUGAGAGGGCGAUCGGCCACACUGGAACUGAGACACGGUCCAGACUCCUACGGGAGGCAGCAGUGGGGAAUAUUGCGCAAUGGGCGGAAGCCUGACGCAGCGACGCCGCGUGAGGGAUGAAGGUCUUCGGAUUGUAAACCUCUUUCAGUAGGGACGAAUAUAAGACGGUACCUGCAGAAGAAGCACCGGCCAACUACGUGCCA
rnacentral:rRNA from 1 species